rnacentral:rRNA from 1 species
CACGUAGGGCGCAAGCGUUGUCCGGAAUCAUUGGGCGUAAAGAGCUCGUAGGCGCUUGUCGCGUCGUCCGUGAAAACCUGCGGCUCAACUGCAGGCUGGCGGUCGAUACGGGGCAGGCUGGAGUUCGGUAGGGGAGACUGGAAUUCCUGGUGUAGCGGUGAAAUGCGCAGAUAUCAGGAAGAACACCCUAGUCGGCAAAGGGCAGCUCUCUGGGGACGGUACUGACGCUGAGACGCGAAAGCGUGGGGAGCGAACAGG